rnacentral:lncRNA from 1 species
GGGAGCCCGGGUCUGGGAUUGGGAAAGGGAUGGGUGGAGCCAGCUAGAACUGCCACAGCCUAGAAGCAUUUUCCAGGGUCCCUUUGAGUUGAGAUUUUGUCAUCGUAGUAACUUGUUAUCACUCAAUGAUGGAUCAGUUAAAGGGAAAAAGACUAACUACUGGCUGGCAACACAGUUCCUUUAGGCUUCCAUGAGCAGCCUAGCUCAGGUUGGUUCAUGGUUGCCAUGCCCAGAGGGUCAUGGGGCCAGCCACAUACAAGGUGGAUUAAGCCUUCCCUGGGGAAGUGGCUUUGUUUGGUUUUCCCAUCCACUCUGGGCAAGAGGCCUCCCUGCCAGAGAUGCCACAGCCAUUUGGAGCCAAUGAAAGCAACAGAAAGCCCAAGAACCAGCCACGCACCUGCAUGUUGCCGUAAGCAGAGCCAGGAGGCAACAGAGGUUAUGCAGGUUGGAUGGGGGCGGAGGGCUUGGCAGAGCAACCUUCUCUAGAGUGGGAGAAGGAACUGGCCAAGGACUCCAGUCACCACACCUUACCCAGGGUGUGUUACAAGAAGGGCUGACUUCAGUGGAGUAAAGAUGAGGGGGCAUGGGAGAAGAGUACAGAGCCGCUGUUUCGGGUCUCAAGAUGAGAACGGAACUGGGAAGAUGGCAGAGCAACAAGAAGGAAGGAGUCUGGGUCUCAGGAUGUUUAAGAAAAGGAGGAAAUCUCUGUUGUGCUUAGGGGCUCCGUUCCUCGGGGCUUCCCCACCUUAGCACAACCUUUAUCUUCAUUAACCUUGCCUGAGUUCUCCACCCAACCCCAUGCUAAGUUUUUAGAUCUCUGUCUAGGAGUUUUGGUGCUACUAGAAGGACUCAGUUUCCUGACUUUAUGAAAAGUGGAGGAGACCAGUUCUGCCAUCUCCCUCUGUGUGGAAAGAAGGCUGAGUACUGGAGUCAAGGCAGAGCACAGGAGUUGGCUUCUAGGCUCAGCACCACAGGCCACGGUGUUGUUGAGAGCCAGCCACUCCAGCUCCCCUUAAGGGCCCCUGCUGGAAUGAGGCCCACACAGUUGGACACCAGUUGGACACCCUGGUCUGGAAUCUGCCUCGGCCUGAAGUACCUCCUUCCCAACUGUGGAAUGGGGAUGUUGGUGUCAGCGGAAUCGUCGGGUGUUUGUGGCCCACUUAACUGUGAGCUCCAGUUGACAGCUGCAUGACUUUGAUGCCGACCCUCGGGAUUACUAGAUGUGUUAUAAUUAACUCUGCUGGGAGGGUGUGGACUCUGGGGUCAGCCAGGAUGCCUGAG